UACGUAGGCAGCGAGCGUUGUUCGGAGUUACUGGGCGUAAAGGGUGCGUAGGCGGUUGUUUAAGUUUGGUGUGAAAUCUCCCGGCUCAACUGGGAGGGUGCGCCGAAUACUGAAUGACUAGAGUGCGGGAGAGGAUAGUGGAAUUCCUGGUGUAGCAGUGAAAUGCGUAGAUAUCGAGAGGAACACCGGUGGCGAAGGCGAGUCCCUGGAAAACACCUGACACUGAGGCACGAAAGCUAGGGGAGCAAACAGG
rnacentral:rRNA from 1 species